rnacentral:rRNA from 2 species
CUAGAUAUACACAAAACAUGACAGUCAAUUUUUUCGAGAGUUUGAUCCUGGCUCAGGAUGAACGCUGGCUGUGUGCCUAAUACAUGCAUGUCGAGCGGAGUUCUUCGGAACUUAGCGGCGAAUGGGUGAGUAACACGUACUUAACAUGCCUUUUAGAUUGGGACAACGAUGAGAAAUUAUCGCUAAUACCGGAUACUUAUAUUGUUCGCAUGAACUAUAUAUAAAAGAAGCCUUUAAAGCUUCACUAAAAGAUUGGGGUGCGGAACAUUAGCUAGUUGGUAAGGUAAUGGCUUACCAAGGCGAUGAUGUUUAGCGGGGUUGAGAGACUGAUCCGCCACACUGGGACUGAGAUACGGCCCAGACUCCUACGGGAGGCAGCAGUAGGGAAUUUUCCACAAUGGACGAAAGUCUGAUGGAGCGACACAGCGUGCAGGAUGAAGGCCUUCGGGUUGUAAACUGCUGUUAUAAGGGAAGAAAAAGCAGUAGAGGAAAUGCUAUUGCCUUGACGGUACCUUGUCAGAAAGCAACGGCUAACUAUGUGCCAGCAGCCGCGGUAAUACAUAGGUUGCAAGCGUUAUCCGGAAUUAUUGGGCGUAAAGCGUCUGUAGGUUGUAUGUUAAGUCUGGCGUGAAAACUUGGGGCUCAACCCCAAAUUGCGUUGGAUACUGGCAUGCUAGAAUUGUGUAGAGGUUAGCGGAAUUCCUAGUGAAGCGGUGAAAUGCGUAGAUAUUAGGAAGAACAUCAACAUGGCGAAGGCAGCUAACUGGGCACAUAUUGACACUGAGAGACGAAAGCGUGGGGAGCAAACAGGAUUAGAUACCCUGGUAGUCCACGCUGUAAACGAUGAUGAUUAGCUGAUAGUAGAACUAUCGGCACAGCUAACGCAUUAAAUCAUCCGCCUGAGUAGUAUGCUCGCAAGAGUGAAACUUAAAGGAAUUGACGGGGAUCCGCACAAGCGGUGGAGCAUGUGGUUUAAUUUGAAGAUACGCGUAGAACCUUACCCACUCUUGACAUCUUCCGCAAAGCUAUAGAGAUAUAGUGGAGGCUAACGGAAUGACAGAUGGUGCAUGGUUGUCGUCAGCUCGUGUCGUGAGAUGUUCGGUUAAGUCCUGCAACGAGCGCAACCCUUGUCCUUAGUUAAUUUUCUAGGGAGACUGCCCGAGUAAUUGGGAGGAAGGUGGGGACGACGUCAAAUCAUCAUGCCUCUUACGAGUGGGGCAACACACGUGCUACAAUGGAUGGUACAAAGAGAAGCAAAACGGCGACGUCAAGCAAAUCUCAAAAAACCAUUCUCAGUUCGGAUUGUAGUCUGCAACUCGACUACAUGAAGUCGGAAUCGCUAGUAAUCGUAGAUCAGCUACGCUACGGUGAAUACGUUCUCGGGUCUUGUACACACCGCCCGUCACACCAUGGGAGCUGGUAAUGCCCGAAGUCGGUUUUGUUAACUACGGAGACAACUGCCUAAGGCAGGGCCGGUGACUGGGGUGAAGUCGUAACAAGGUAUCCCUACGAGAACGUGGGGAUGGAUUACCUCCUUUCUACGGAG